UACGUAGGUGGCAAGCGUUGUCCGGAAUUAUUGGGCGUAAAGCGCGCGCAGACGGUCCUUUAAGUCUGAUGUGAAAGCCCACGGCUCAACCGUGGAGGGUCAUUGGAAACUGGAGGACUUGAGUACAGAAGAGGAAAGUGGAAUUCCACGUGUAGCGGUGAAAUGCGUAGAGAUGUGGAGGAACACCAGUGGCGAAGGCGACUUUUUGGUCUGUAACUGACGUUGAGGCGCGAAAGCGUGGGGAGCAAACAGG
rnacentral:rRNA from 1 species